UUGGAGGGAGUAAAGCGGGGGAUCCCUUUCCGGACCUCGCGCUAUAAGAUGAGCCUAUGUCGGAUUAGCUUGUUGGUUGGGUAAUGGCCUACCAAGGCGACGAUCCGUAGCUGGUCUGAGAGGACGAUCAGCCACACUGGGACUGAGACACGGCCCAGACUCCUACGGGAGGCAGCAGUGGGGAAUCUUGGACAAUGGGGGAAACCCUGAUCCAGCAAU
rnacentral:rRNA from 1 species